AGCUUUGCGCAGUGGCAGGAUUGUAGCCAAUGAGUUUUAUCUGAGGUGCGAUUAUUGCUAAUUGAAAACUAGACAUUUUGUGACUAUUAUCUCUGACAAUUGAUCUUCAUCCUUUUCCCUUUUGCUGUGCUGCAUUCUGAAUGAUUUUCUUGAAACCCUUCAGUUGA
rnacentral:snRNA from 11 species